CCCUAUAUUAGGGUUAGGGGUGUGCACCAGGGUAGGGUUAGGGCAGAGGUGGUGAACCUAUGGCGCACGUUCCACAGCGGGCAUGCAGAGCCCUCUCUGUUGGCAUGCGAGCCAAGUCGCCCCAGCAUCGCCCCA